rnacentral:rRNA from 1 species
AAUGAACGCUGGCGGCGUGCUUAACACAUGCAAGUCGAGCGAGGCCUGGGGGGCAACUCCCAGAGUCGAGCGGCGGACGGGUGAGUAACACGUGGGUAACCUGCCCGGAAGUGGGGAAUACCUCGGGGAAACUCGAGCUAAUACCGCAUGACAUCUUUGGGACGAAAGUCCUGACGAUCAAAGCGGGGUCGCAAGAUCUCGCGCUACCGGAUGGGCCCGCGCCCGAUUAGCAGUUGGUGAGGUAACGGCUCACCAAGGCUUCGAUCGGUAACCGGCCUGAGAGGGCGAUCGGUCACACCGGAACUGAGACACGGUCCGGACUCCUACGGGAGGCAGCAGUGGGGAAUCUUGCGCAAUGGGCGAAAGCCUGACGCAGCAACGCCGCGUGGAGGAUGAAGGCCCUUGGGUUGUAAACUCCUGUCGGCUGGGAAGAAGUCGUGCGGUGCUCAUACCACCGUGCGUUGACUGUACCAGCAAAGG